CCUUAGACAAUUGUGAUGGUCUCCUGAGGGAUCGAGACCUGUGUGCAUCAGUUGGUUCCAGUGGGAUGACCAGGAAUUCUGAAAUUCACAAUUGGAGUCAAAGCUAUACUCCCCACCAGAUUGUAAACUAUAAGAAGAGAAGACCCUCUCUAUUUCAGUCACAUUUGUUUCUCAGACAAUUGGCACAUUGGAAGUGUUCAACAAAUACUUCUGCAAUGAACUCUGUGAACACUGGGUGCUCUUGGGCCUCCAAGUUUUAUUUGCUUAUUGGCUG